UAACGUAGCGAAAGUUACGCUAAUACCGCAUAUUCUGUGAGCAGGAAAGCAGGGGAUCUUCGGACCUUGCGCUUUUGGAGCGGCCGAUGUCGGAUUAGCUAGUUGGUGGGUAAGGCCACCAAGGCGACGAUCCGUAGCGGGUCUGAGAGGAUGAUCCGCCACACUGGAACUGAGACACGGUCCAGACUCCUACGGGAGGCAGCAGUGGGGGAUUUUGGACAAUGGGCGCAAGCCUGAUCCAGCCAUGCCGCGUGAGUGAAGAAGGCCUUCGGGUUGUAAAAGCUCUUUCGGUGGGGAAGAAAUUGCUUGGGUUAAUACCCUGAGUAGAUGACGGUACCCGCAUAAGAAGCACCGGCUAACUACGUG
rnacentral:rRNA from 1 species